UCCAAGGCCCCUGCGCAUCUCAUGCACUGAAUUUCAAUUUCAUUAAAAAAUAGAUCAUAGGAUCUAAAUUAAACUUGUCACACAAGUCUAUAAACCAUGAAAUUUCAUAUCCAAGAUUUGAUCAUGAAUCGAUAAUACUUUAUCAAAAAUAAAAAUACAUCAAAAUCAACUAGACGUAAGCCCUAAGAAUUUCGAGCUCAAUAGGAUAAGAAAGCUCCAGAGUUGAACCG
rnacentral:lncRNA from 1 species